UGAGGAAUAUUGGACAAUGGGGGCAACCCUGAUCCAGCCAUGCCGCGUGAGUGAAGAAGGCCUUAGGGUUGUAAAGCUCUUUCAACGGUGAAGAUGAUGACGGUAUCCGUAGAAGAAGCACCGGCUAACUUCGUGCCAGCAGCCGCGGUAAUACGAAGGGUGCAAGCGUUGUUCGGAAUUACUGGGCGUAAAGGGCGUGUAGGCUGACUGGAAAGAUAGGGGUGAAAGCCAUGGGCUCAACCUGUGAACUGCCUUUAUAACUUCCAGUCUAGAAUUCGAGAGAGGGUGGCGGAAUUCCUAGUGUAGAGGUGAAAUUCGUAGAUAUUAGGAAGAACACCAGUGGCGAAGGCGGCCACCUGGCUCGAUAUUGACGCUGAGGCGCGAAAGCGUGGGGAGCAAACAGG
rnacentral:rRNA from 1 species